AGAGAGAGAGAGAGAGAGAGAGAGAGAGAGAGAGAGAGAGCGCUGCAUGGCAGUGUAUUAACUCAGGAAAACAAAAGUCUCUGGAGUCUGGAACACGCUUUUUUGCUACAGUAACAUAUCAAGCCUUUGGCAACGGAUUUGACAGCACACUCAUUCCUCGCGGCGCAUGAAAUCAAGUCGUCUAUGAUGAAAUACUGUACGUCAACAAUGCCACCAUGACCAAGGACAACGGCGUGCUGGACGAUUGGUUGCAAUCGAAGGAAAUAUGAAUGUGGCCAAGUAGAGGGAUAUCCUGGACGAAAACCUUCUCCACAGUGGUCAGGACCUCAGACUGGGCCAAAGGUUCACCUUCCAACAAGACAAUGACCCUAAGCACACAGCUAAAAUAACGAAGGAGUGGCUUCAGAACAACUCCGUAACUGUUCUUGAAUGGCCCAGCCAGAACCCUGACUUAAACCCAAUUAAGCAUCUCUGGAGAGACCUGAAAAUGGUUGUCCAACCAAUGUUCACCAUCCAACCUGACAGAAGUGGAGCGGAUUUGCAAGGAGGAAUGGCAGAGAAUCCCCAAAUCCAGAGUGAUGUCGUCCCGGCACCUCCUCUUCCUCCAGCAGUAGGUCAUAUCGGGAACUUUUGGAGGGGUUAAAGAAAGCUUAAAGAUGCUAUGAGUACAUCACAGGUACAAAUUGGUUCUGGCCAAAGGUCCCAGAUCAACGUGUGAGGAUACUCUUGUUUGGGCUUCACUUGAUCUUUCAGAGUCAGUUUGGAUCGCUUCUCCAAGUCGUUCUCAUAAGCCUUAAAGUCUUCUUUGGUGUACUUUCCGCCUACAACACAUCAUGAGGAGAAUAGUUACUUAGUACUAAACGUUUAAAAUCAUACAAGCCGCAGAUGGCAGCGAGUACCUUUCCCUUUCCAUUUGAUCUUUGACACAGACUGGCUGAAGUCGACAUGAAUGCGUCGAUCGUCUAUUAGCACAUUAUCCAUUUUGAAGUAGGCCUUUUCGCAGUCUUCUUGCUAUCAAGACAGAACGGGUGCAACCAGGGGGUAAACAAAUAAGAAAAUGAAGAGGAUACACAGGUAUAACAUAGCACAGUUUUUCCCUACAUUCCAUCCACCUCUGGCUCUAAAAGC